UCCGAGUCCCUGAGAUUAGUCACUCACUAAAAACAUUUUUAAAGUAAUAGAAAUAAUAAAAAGAACUGUGAUUCCUCACUCAUAGUUUGGCAAGCAAGUUGUGCAGGAGCUUGGCCUCAUUAGCAAUAACUGUAACAAAACCAACUAACACAUGUAUUUUGCAAUUUGCAAGGUUCACACGGUCAUUAUUUACCAUUCACCUCUCAUCUGGUUUACACAAUAGUAUGUGUUAUUAGCUCUUAGGUGAGAAAUUUGUGGCUCAAGGAAUUUAAGACAUUUGUGGAGCCAACAGGUAGUAAAUGCUGGAAAUGAGACAUGAACCCAGGUCUUCUGGCUCCCAACCGGAUGAUUUAAUGAACAGAUAAAAAAGAUUUUUAUCUGCGCAUCAGCUCAAGCAGUCCUUACAUCUACUGACUGGGCACGUUGUGUUCGUAAAUGGACUCCUCUGAGGUGCUUCAAGACAGUUGGCUGUCUUGCAUUAAUGCUCCUCAGCAAUUGUAUUUACAGGAUUCAUUGGCAAGCCUCAUUCUUCACUAAGAGAGGGAAGGUCAACUUGAGCGGAGCCCCUGAGAAAACCAUCACAGAGAUGGAAUUCCUCAGCCCUGGCUUAAUGGGCAUUGACUGCCUCCUCCUUCCUGGUUUCCGGCAGAGGGCCGGGGAGGCCCCAGGAAGGACUCCUUCCGGGUCACUGGGGCAGCUGUGGUCGAAAAGGCUCAUCUCCUCCUCCACAGAGCCCAGAGGAGAGCGAGAGGCCUACUGGGUGCCUGAGCACCGUGUGCCUGAGCACCGUGUGCCUGCUCAACAUUAACCAGGGACUAAUUCCACGAUUGCCGGCGUGCUGGGCGUCUCUGGAAAGACGAUCAGAUGUGGAGAAAUUCAGGCAGCACAUGGAAACGUGCCACCUUGCCAACGACACUGUGAGGACAACGCAGCUGACUCCUAACAGGAGCAGGUCUCGGGGCAGGUCUCCCUCAGCCAACCGGCUGGUCAAGUGAAGCGAUGUCACAAGUCUCUUUUCUGUGGGCACCUGGAGGCCGGCAGCACCUGACUCGUCUCAUGGCCCCAAGACCAAAGUCAAACUCAUCGAAGCAGAGAGUAGAAUGGUGGGGGUUGGGGAGACGUUGGUCAGAGGAUACAAACCCCCAGUUAUAAGAUGAAUGAGUUCUGGGGAUCGAAUGCACAGCAUGGUGAUGGCAGUGAACAAUACUGUAUUGUUUACUUGAAAUUUUCUAAGAGAGUAGAUAUUACCACCAACCUCCCUCCCCAAACCAAAACCAAAAAAAAGGUAUCUAUGUGAGGUGAGGGAUGUGUUAACAAACUUGACUGUGGUAAUCAUUUCACAAUGCAAGCGUAUAUCAAAUCAU